rnacentral:rRNA from 1 species
GUCAAAUGAAGAAGGGCUUACGGUGGAUACCUAGGCACCCAGAGACGAAGAAGGGCGUGGAAACCGACGAAACGCUUCGGGAAGCUGGAAACAAGCUAUGAUCCGAAGAUUCCCGAAUAGGGCAACCUCUUGUACUUCUCAUUGAAUUCAUAAAUGAGAAAGAGACAACCCGGUGAAUUGAAACAUCUUAGUAGCCGGAGGAAAAGAAAGCAAACGCGAUUCCCGUAGUAGCGGCGAGCGAACUGGGAACAGCCUAAACCGGCUCGAUCUCGAGCCGGGGUUGUGGGAAGAAGAACAUUUUUUUUCUGUUAAAUAAUCGCUAGACGAAGCAGCUGAAUCCUGCACCAUAGAUGGUGAAAGUCCAGUAGUCGAAAGCUAAUUGAUCGAAGCAAUUCAGCCUUGGGGGCUCCAGCAAUUCAAACCCCCCUCUUUCAUGCAAUUACCCUGGGGGCCCCGUACCCCAGGUUACAGCUACUAAACGCUGACAAGAGGGGGGGUAAGAAUUGCAGCCCCAGGUUAGUAUUGCUGGACUUCUUAUCCCGAGUAGCAUGGGGCACGUGAAAUCCCGUGUGAAUCCACGAGGACCACCUCGUAAGGCUAAAUACUCCUGGGUGACCGAUAGUGAAAUAGUACCGCGAGGGAAAGGUGAAAAAGAACCCCAGUCGGGGAGUGAAAUAGAACAUGAAACCGUAUGCUUUCAAGCAGUGGGAGGACUUUCUGAAGUUUGACCGCAUGCCUGUUGAAGAAUGAGCCGGCGACUUAUAAAGAGUGGCUUGGUUAAGGAAAAAAAUCCGGAGCCAAAGCGAAAGCAAGUCUUAAUAGGGCUCAGGUCACUCUUUAUGGACCCGAACCCGGGUGAUCUAACCAUGACCAGGAUGAAGCUUCGGUAAAACGGAGUGGAAGUCCGAACCGACCGAUGUUGAAAAAUCGGCGGAUGAGUUGUGGUUAGGGGUGAAAUGCCAAUCGAACUCGGAGCUAGCUGGUUCUCCCCGAAAUGCGUUGAGGCGCAGCGGUUAACGUGGGCGGUCUAGGGGUAAAGCACUGUUUCGGUGCGGGCUGCGAGAGCGGUACCAAAUCGUAGCAAACUAAGAAUACUAGAUCUGCUUUCCGUCAACCAGUGAGACGGUGGGGGAUAAGCUUCAUCGUCGAAAGGGAAACAGCCCAGAUCACCAGCUAAGGCCCCUCAAUGGCCGCUAAGUGGUAAAGGAGGUGAGAAUGCAGAAACAACCAGGAGGUUUGCUUAGAAGCAGCAACCCUUUAAAGAGUGCGUAAUAGCUCACUGGUGGAGCGUUCUUGCGCCGAAAAUGAACGGGACUAAGCGGUCUGCCGAAGCUGUGGGAUUUCGAACAACUUAAUGGAAAGAUCUGUCUCUGUAAUUGCAUUUUUUUAUUUACAAAAACAGCUUUACGUUACAACUCGAAAUCGGUAGGGGAGCGUUCCGCUCUAGGGUGAAGCAUCAACGAAAGUAGGUGUGGACGAAGCGGAAGUGAGAAUGUCGGCUUGAGUAACGAAAACAUUGGUGAGAAUCCAAUGCCCCGAAAACCUAAGGAUUCCUCCACUAGGUUCGUCCAUGGAGGGUGAGUCAGGACCUAAGGCGAGGCCGAAAGGCGUAGUCGAUGGCAAACAGGUUAAUAUUCCUGUACUGAUUCUUAUUUGGUACCGAGGGACGAAGAAGGCAACGAUUGGCCGAAAUUGGAUUUUUCGGUGGAAGCGUUCGAGGUAAUGAGAGGGAGAAGAAAAACUUUCCUUGAGCUGAGACGUGAUACGGUUUUGACUUUGACCCCUUUCGGGGUUAGGUCGAAACUCAAUAAUUUGUCAAACUUCCAAGAAAAGCUUGUACUACCAUAAAAUAAGAAUUACCUGUACCUUAAACCGACACAGGUAGGUGGGUAGAGUAUACCAAGGGGCGCGAGAUAACUCUCUCUAAGGAACUCGGCAAAAUGGCCCCGUAACUUCGGGAGAAGGGGUGCCCUUUACUAGUAAAGGUAAGGGGUCGCAGUGACCAGGCCCAGGCGACUGUUUACCAAAAACACAGGUCUCCGCAAAGUCGUAAGACAAUAUAUGGGGGCUGACGCCUGCCCAGUGCCGGAAGGUGAAGGAAGUUGGUCAGAUAUUUCGAAGCUGACGACCGAAGCCCCGGUGAACGGCGGCCGUAACUAUAACGGUCCUAAGGUAGCGAAAUUCCUUGUCGGGUAAGUUCCGACCCGCACGAAAGGCGUAACGAUCUGGGCACUGUCUCGGAGAGAGACUCGGUGAAAUAGACAUGUCCGUGAAGAUGCGGACUUCCUGCACCUGGACAGAAAGACCCUAUGAAGCUUGACUGUAGCCUGGAAUUGGGUUUGGGCUCUUCUUGCGCAGCCUAGGUGGGAGGCUUUGACGGUUCCCUUCCGGGGGAGCUUGAGCCAAACGUGAGAGACCACUCUAGAAGAGCUAGAAUUCUAAUAGCGAUCCUUGAAUCAGGACGCUUGACAGUUUCAGGUGGGCAGUUUGACUGGGGCGGUCGCCUCAUAAAAGGUAACUGAGGCGUGCAAAGGUUCCCUCAGGCUGGACGGAAAUCAGCCGUAGAGUGUAAAGGCAGAAGGGAGCUUGACUGCAAGACCCACAAGUCGAGCAGGGGCGAAAGCCGGCCUUAGUGAUCCGACGGUACCGAGUGGAAGGGCCGUCGCUCAACGGAUAAAAGUUACUCUAGGGAUAACAGGCUGAUCUUCCCCAAGAGUUCACAUCGACGGGAAGGUUUGGCACCUCGAUGUCGGCUCCUCGCAACCUGGGGCGGUAGUACGUCCCAAGGGUUGGGCUGUUCGCCCAUGAAAGCGGUACGUGAGCUGGGUUCAGAACGUCGUGAGACAGUUCGGUCCAUAUCCGGUGUAGGCGUUAGAACAUUGAGAGGAGCCUUCCAUAGUACGAGAGGACCCGGAAGGACGCACCGCUGGUAUACCAGUUCUCGUGCCAACGGGAAACGCUGGGUAGCCAAGUGCGGAGUGAAUAACCGCUGAAAGCAUCUAAGUGGGAAGUCCACCUCAAGAUGAGUGUUCUCAUGAGGUCACGGCAAGACAAGCCGUUUAAAAGGUGUCAGGUAAAAGGUCAGCAAUGGCUUUAGCCGAGACAUACUCAUAGACCGAUUGAUUUUGAC